rnacentral:rRNA from 1 species
UGGGGAAUCUUGGGCAAUGGGCGAAAGCCUGACCCAGCCACGCCGCGUGGAGGAUGAAGCCCUUCGGGGUGUAAACUCCUUUUCUGGGGGAAGAAAUCCCGACGCUGGUCGGGACUGACGGUACCCCAGGAAUAAGCGCCGGCUAACUCCGUGCCAGCAGCCGCGGUAAUACGGAGGGCGCAAGCGUUGCCCGGAAUCACUGGGUGUAAAGGGUGCGUAGGCGGGGCUGUAAGUCAGAGGUGAAAGCCUCCGGCUCAACCGGAGAAUUGCCUCUGAUACUGCAGCUCUUGAGUCCCGGAGAGGCCGCUGGAAUUCCUGGUGUAGCGGUGAAAUGCGUAGAUAUCAGGAGGAACACCGGAGGCGAAGGCGGGCGGCUGGACGGGGACUGACGCUGAGGCACGAAAGCGUGGGGAGCAAACAGG